UACGAAGGGGGCUAGCGUUGUUCGGAUUUACUGGGCGUAAAGCGCACGUAGGCGGAUCGUUAAGUCGGGGGUGAAAUCCUGGAGCUCAACUCCAGAACUGCCUUCGAUACUGGCGAUCUCGAGUCCGGAAGAGGUGAGUGGAACUCCUAGUGUAGAGGUGGAAUUCGUAGAUAUUAGGAAGAACACCAGUGGCGAAGGCGGCUCACUGGUCCGGUACUGACGCUGAGGAGCGAAAGCCAGGGGAGCAAACGGG
rnacentral:rRNA from 1 species